rnacentral:ncRNA from 3 species
GCCCUUUUUCUGUUGUACUACUGUGCAGUCAGAUGAGCAGUGCAAUAUUAAAAGGGCAU